UUGGGGGGGUAGGUGAUCAGUAAAACCUUUCUGGUGGAGUUUUUUUUUUUUUUUUUUAAAUCAAAUUUGGCUAUUUCGCAAGCCACGUACACCGGGCUGUGCGAUGGGAACUGCCGCUGAGGUUACAGGGCAGCGGUCAGUCUAGGAAGGAUUCAGGCUCUAGAGCGGUCAUUUUCUUUUCGCACUUCCUUCUGGGUCCCUACCUUCCAGCCCGAAGAGUCGAUGAUCUACGGCCCAGGCUGCCUCACAUUCCUCCGCAGUGGGUGGAGAAAGUGGAGGAGGGACCACGAGUUACCCCAGCCUGUACUUCAGGCUGGGUAGAUAGCCCAGCAAACAGAUCAUGACAUCUCUAGAGCCUACCUGGCAAGUGCUUUCGUGCCGCUACUGUUUUGGGGGUCAAUUAUUUGUCGUAAGGUUUGAGGACACUUAUCUUUAAGGGUUUUACAGUGAUACAUUGAAAAUUUACAACCGGACCUUGGCCAGCGAUUCUGGAAUCUCAAUAAUAGAGUUGAGCGUUUUAAAGAGCACAAAGGAUUUAAAUUAGAGAAACGCCACAGAGGCUCUUUAUAGUGUGCGCCUAAUUUUAGUAAUGGGACACAACGCAAAAACUAAUACAUAGCCACAGUGUUAAACUUCAGCGCCACGUCGAAAACCUAACAAUAACAAUGGAGGUUGUCUGGAAAGACGGGGUAACUCGAAUUGCGCUACAAGGGCGCUCUUCCAAGUCUCGGAUUGGGCCGGAAAUGCCGCAGUCCCGGUCACGUGGUGGUGUCUCGCCCCCCCUGGUUCUCUAGAUAAGGAUGACUUGAUGAGCAGCCACCCGGGGCGGAGGCGGGGCUUGCGCAUGCGCAGCCCUGAGGUUGAAGCCGCGCGGGGCGCUCGGGUGCUAGCGGUCUGCGGAAGCAUUUUGGACGCUGACCCUUUCUGCUUCCUGGCCGCUGGGUUAAGUUGAAAUACUGAAGUUUUCGAAAUCCCAUAUUCAUGACUAUCACGACAUUACUCGGCAAUUACAAACAGCCUUCCUGUUUUUAAGAUCUCUAACGUGGAAACGUGGGCUCGCUGGUUCCGUUUUUUCUCACAAAAAACUGAGGUCACUUUACUGCUGCUUGGGUUUGGUUCAAGCUCGUACUGGGCGAGCUUUGUUCAGCGAGCUCCACUUCUGCCCUUUGGAGGUUUCGGAGUAUUCGGGGCUAAUCGUCGUUUAGGUUUUCUUGCCUGAAGGCCAGAACUGCUGACUUGGUCAGAUUAGUUCCUAAAGACAAAUCACUGCUGGAAAAAUGACUCGGCCACUUAGCGGGAGCCCACUAUGGUCCCCAGGCCAAGUGGUAAAGGCUACACGGGUGGGGUCAGCUCCUGAAAGAAAAGAAAGCUUUCACUAAGGGAAAUUCUGCAAAGGUCUAACGUAAUGUAGGAUUAGGACUUUUUUUUUCUUAUAAUGUAGGAUUAGGACUUUUUUUUCUUCUUUGAAAAGGGCAACGGAGCUCGAGGCCAGCCUGAGUUACAUAGUGAGACCGUGUCUGAAAAAACAAAAUUAAAUAAAAGGACAAUGAAAUUACGGUUUGUCAAGUGUCAAACUAUUAAAAUGUCAUUACAUUUUUAAAAUUUGGAAUCAAAUCACCUUUCAGAGAAUAUUUGUCCCAGUUUGUUUUUUGUAACUGAAAGGUUUUGUUGGAGCCAUGAAGGCAAAGAAGAAAAUAUUUAAAUUCUUAAUAUACACAAUUUGUAUAAAACUAUCAAAGAAUGGAUACAUAUUUCCAUAAAAUCAGCAAAUGUAAAAUAUUGUAACUUCAGUAAAACUAGUGCCAAAAGUUUCUCAGGCAUUAUCGUGGUUUUUACAAAACAGCCACAAAAUUGGGUAGGAUGAGAGCCACUUGGGUCAUCUGAGGUGAGCAUAUACCUCUAUAUUAAGAAGCCAACAGGCUGGAGAUUUAGCUCAACGGCGAAAAUGCCUGCCUUGCAAGCAGGCAGUCGUGAGUUUGAUCCCCGGUACCGAUAAAAAGACAAAAAUAAAAAUAAAAAAAAAGCCAAAUUUUUCUGAUGUGUAACAGCAUUUCUCAGAAAAGGAUUUUUUUCUUUUUCUUUUUUUUUUUUUAGACAAGGUCUCACCAUGUGGUCCAGACUGGCCUUGAACUCGCUUAUGCAGCUCAGACUGGCCUCAAACUCACCGUGUUUCUCCUGCCUUAGCCUCCAGAGUGCUGGGAUUACAGUUUUGGGCCACAAUACCUGGCAAAAUUUUCCUUUUGAGAGAGUAAAUAUUUAGAAGCUUUUUAUAUUUUCCUCUUUGGAUUGAGAGAUCUUGCGUUUUCAGAAUUGUUUUGAUGCUGCAACAAUUUUAAAAAAUAAUUAUUGGCAGAUGAGGUUGAUAGCUUGUCUUUAUAACCUGCAGGACAUUGAUUGAGAAGCUGCUUGUUGAGAAAGGAGUUCCUGCCAAUCGAGGCCAAAAUGUCACACUGAUCCUGUGACUCUUGCUUUUGGUGUCAAUUAUUUUCCUUUUCACUACUGUUCUAUAUCAAGUAGUCAUUGGAGUCAGGGACAAAUAAGUCAUGGAAUGUAGACCCUUAGCAGCGAUGACACCAGUUCUGUGCUCUAGCUCAAUGCUUUGUCCUUGAUAAUAAAAUAAUAUACUGUAAUAAUUAUCAAGCUUUUAUUCCAUAUCGGAUAUGAUUCACCAUUUUCAAUUUAUGCUAUUAAAUAAUUUUACUUUC